AAUUAUUGAUCCAUGUGAAGCCCUUUCGACGAGUCGAGUUGUUUGGCAAUGCAGCUCAAAAUGGGUGGUAGACUUCAUCUAAAGCUAAAUAUCAGCCAGAGACCGAUAGCGCACAAGUAGAGUGAUCGAAAGAUGAAAAGCACUUUGAAAAGAGAGUUAAACAGCACGUGAAAUUGUUGAAAGGGAAGCGCUUGCAACCAGACUUGCUUGUAAUGUUCAGCCUCCUGAAAAGGUGGUGUAUUCUUUACUUGCAGGCCAGCAUCGGUUUCGACGGUUGGACAAAAACUCAAGGAAAGUAGCUCUUCUAGGGGAGUGUUAUAGCCUAAGUAAAAUGCAACCAGUUGGGACCGAGGAACGCGCUUUUUAGCGAGGAUGUUGGCAUAAUGGUUGUUAGCGACCCGUCUUGAAACACGGACCAAGGAGUCGACCAAUUAAGCGAGCGUUAGGGUGUCAUACCCACAACGCGCAAUGAAAGUAAACGUAGGUGGGAAGCUUUUAGCAGCACCAUCGACCGAUCUAAGUUCGCGAGGAUUUGAGUAUGAGUUUCAUUGGUCGGACCCGAAAGAAGGUGAACUAUUCCCGAAUAGGUUGAAGCCAGGUGAAAACCUGGUGGAAGACCGCAGCGGUUCUGACGUGCAAAUCGAUCGUCAAAUUUAGGAAUAGGGGCGAAAGACUAAUCGAACCUUCUAGUAGCUGGUUCCUGUCGAAGUUUCCCUCAGGAUAGCAGCAACGAUAAACAGUCUCAUGAGGUAGAGCAACGAUUAGAGGCCUUGGGGUUGAAACAACCUUAACCUAUUCUCGAACUCG
rnacentral:rRNA from 1 species